GCAAAAAUGGCAGAUGCGAACUACAUUACCCAUAAAACACAACUAACUCACGUGGACCAUGCUUCUAGUUGAAACUUUAAAGUGGAAUGUGUUUGUGUGCAUGUGGGUCUCAGUACAAUCGUUGAAUUGGUUUAGAUUUAUGUGAUAAGAAAUAAAUUUUAUAUAGAUUUGCGUUUGUAAAAAUAGUUGAAAAAAUAACUGUGUUUAUGGAUCUAAACAUCAUCAGCAAUAAUGAUAAAAACAGACUCAAAAGCAUCAUAGAGACAGCAGCUCACCUUAGCUACUCAACAGUCGCAAUAAACUAUGUGGUUGAACCACAACAGAAGAAACAGGAAAUUCCUAAGCCACAGAGUGUGUCAGACAUAUUUGAUAAAUUCCCAAUAGUACAGGGCAAAUCUUCUUCCAUCAAAGUACUGAAUCGAUUGACCAUCAUAGCCUCUGAUGCUUCUCAUUUUAGACCAACCAAUGAAUACAAAAGCUUCGACCUUGUUGCAGUGUACCCCAAGACAGAAAAACUAUUUCAUGCAGCCUGCAUGACUUUUGAUGUGGACAUUAUCUGCAUUGCAGUUGCUGAAAAACAGCCCUUCCAUUUUAAAAAGGCUCCAGUUAAUGGGGCUAUUGACAGGGGGGGUUUCUUUGAGACCUGUUAUGCAGCAGCCAUUAGAGACACCACUAUGAGGAGAUACACCAUCGCCAAUGCCAUCAGCCUUAUGGAAGUCUGUAAAGGAAAAAAUAUCAUAGUGUCCAGUGGAGCAGAAAAGCCUCUUGAAUUGAGGGGUCCGUAUGACAUUGCCAAUUUAGGGCUUGUGUUCAGCCUGUCUGAAGGAGAUGCCAAAGCUGCUGUUUCUACUAAUUGUCGAGCUGUCUUGCUUCAUGGAGAGACGAGAGCCACUGCAUCUGGUGUUGUUUACACCAUGAAGAAACCAAAAACUCCCCAGAAACAAGAAGAAUCUCCAGUAUCUAAAAAGGCCAAAACUGAAUUUUCAUAAGUAUGAGAUGUUCAGCACAUUCAUGGUGUCCUGUCCUGACUGCUACAUGAAGGGGGGUGCUGCGAAGCUGAGGACGUCAAGUGUAACCGAUAGAGACAUGUGAUUAGUGUGACUGAUUUGAGGUGGUGCUGAGUGAGCAGACAGCAGUGGGACUGGAAUCUGUGGGUGCCUCCUAAUGAGCUGAGCCACUGAGAACCCAAUAUAUCUGAACCUUCUCCACAGACUGCCAACAAGUUAGUUAGGUAGAAGAGUAGAACAUAUGCUCAUUUUUAUUUAAUCUAUACUGAAAAUGUUCAUCAUUUCUAACUGUUCAGAUCCUGAGUUUUGAUUAUAGUUAAUAUUUAACAUUCAUUUGCAUGAAAUUGAUAAUUCAUCACUACAGCUAUUUUAUUAAGUACUAUACAUUGCUCAUCAUAGUUGUAAAUAGUAAUAAUCAGUGUAUUUUACAUGUAAUUGUAAAACUGUUUUAACUUAUUUGAAGGAAUUUGAUUCAUUCUCACAUUUGUAUCUCCAUUAUGUAUUUGUUUUAUGCAUUCAUAUAGAUUAAGCUGCUUCUUGUCUAAUUCUUGUGAAUUCAUAUCUGUUGUCUAUUAGAAGUGGGACAAAAUUGGCAAGUCAUUAAGUUCAAGCACUGACUGUAGUUUUUAUAAACUAUUUAUGUAUAUAUGCAACAUGUUGUUACAAAUGUAACAUCUGAGAAUAUGAUGAGCACAAUGAACAUAAAUGUAUAUGGUUAGAUGGGUGUAGAAGCCCCCUUAAGAACAAUGCAGAUUUAAUUUUAAAUUUAAAUAUUAAAAGAGGGACAGGUUUACACCCCCGUCUCAUUGUGUGGCCUUCUUGGGCAUCAUUAUACAUGUUUUCACCAUUUGUAAUAGCUAUGCAUGAGUUCCUCAGUGUCAAAAUAUGGAUUUUGGAAAGGGUUCAAAUAUGCAGAAGAUGCUGGAAAACCAAAUGUUUAGGAGAUUAAGGAAUUUCCUGAAGAACAGCAGGCAGUUGAACUGCUCAGGACAAACAAGGGACUCAUGAACAACUAUCACAAAAUAUAAAACCAGUCAUGGACCAUCCAGGAAAUGACACAUAGUAUUAAGAUUCAAGGGUAUGUAAACAUUUUAAUGGAGUCAUUUUUAUAAAUUCGGUUAUAAAUUUUUCUUGUGGAGUAUAUGUAAACAUCUGUUAUGUGAAAUAGCUUAUUCAGGACAGUACUAAAUA